AAACACAGACUGACAGAGUCAGGGAGCUGCAGCUGGAAAGCAUUCAAGGGAGCAGCAGACUGUGGAUAAAGACUACAGGACCUGCAAGAAGUUUCCUGCUCACUGAGGUGGUGAGCUUCCACUAUGGGUUGUGUUUCCUCCAGGCGAGGUGUCACUCGUCUUCUGGCAUGGCGAGGGCUUGAUCUAAAGCCCUGCAAGAGAAAAGGGAAUCAUGGUGUUUGGCAUCUCCCAAAAUGGGCUGUGUAACAACUGCAACAUCACACUGGAUCUUAACAACUCAAGAAUACCUGCUGAAGUCCUUAUGCAACAAAGCCAGCAUUUUAGAAUCCAACUUCUGCGAGGUUAGAUUUCAGAUAAAACUGCAGAAAUCUUUGCUGUGAAUCUAAAUAUCCUGAAUUCCUGCCAGCAGAAAACUAGUGGGAGCACUACAUUUUCAUAUAAAUCUGCUGUUCUUUUGCUCCCUCCUUCCAUUAGCUUUUGGGUUUUGGGAUUUGUUUUGCCUUUUUUGUUGUUGUUUUAAUUAGGAAAUCAGCACAGAAGAGUUGUGCUAAAAUGCUGUUAUGUUGGUAAAUUGAAACAAUCAAAAGUAUGGCUCUGUGAAAACUGGAUUUCCUCCACUAAUGUUCAUGAGACUGUAAGGGAAGGCAGUGUCUGUCCUGGACACUCAGACAGAAAAACAGCUAUCUUCAUUAUUUAAAUGCAUUCCACAUUAAGUAAAUAUACUCUUAAAUGGCCAAAAGACACAAACACACAUUUACAUAGACAUGCUAGUAAUUGCUAUAGAUAACAUUGCAUGCAACAGAUGAUGUAAAAAGGCUGAAGUGGAAAGGUGAAGUAACUUCCAAGGAACAACCUUCUACACAUGAACCCUGGAGAGGAGGGACAGAAAUAGAGCCCAAAUCUCCUUAGUCAGUCAGGGAGGUUCAUGUCUGCAGUGCAUCGGGGCUGUACAAUACAUACGAUGCAAAGGUACAGCCAACGUUUCCUGAAUCUUUUUUUAUGAUCCCUCCUACUCUACAGAAA